CUUAGAUUACACUCAACGGAUAGCUUCUGUUGUGGAUAAGGACGUUUAAUUUAAUAAUACUAGUAUUUCCAUCAAACUCUGAGAUUGAUAUUCACUCACAGUCAGUUUCUAACGGAAAGUUAUGGCGGUAGUUGAGUUGUUCGUGUUAGGGUGCACCGGAAUCGUCAUGUUCUUUCACGGCGUCAAUUUCAUGUUUCACGCUCUCGCUCAUCAAAUCUCCGUUCGAUCUCUCAGUUUCUUGGGGUGUGUUUGGUGACAAACAAAUGAACAGAUGAGCCGGAAUUUGGUUUUCAACGGAAUGGAAAUUGUGAAUAUUUUUUGUAGACAAUAAUAAAUGUAAGAUGAAUGAGGAAUGUUUUUCAUCUUAUAAUAUUUUUGUAAAGUUUGGUUAUUAUGAUAGGGUGCUACUUUCUACACC